GACGAACGCUGGCGGCGUGCUUAACACAUGCAAGUCGAGCGGUAAGGCCUUUCGGGGUACACGAGCGGCGAACGGGUGAGUAACACGUGGGUGAUCUGCCCUGCACUUCGGGAUGAGCCUGGGAAACUGGGUCUAAUACCGGAUAUGACCUCCUAUCGCAUGGUGGGUGGUGGAAAGAUUUAUCGGUGCAGGAUGGGCCCGCGGCCUAUCAGCUUGUUGGUGGGGUAAUGGCCUACCAAGGCGACGACGGGUAGCCGACCUGAGAGGGUGACCGGCCACACUGGGACUGAGACACGGCCCAGACUCCUACGGGAGGCAGCAGUGGGGAAUAUUGCACAAUGGGCGAAAGCCUGAUGCAGCGACGCCGCGUGAGGGAUGACGGCCUUCGGGUUGUAAACCUCUUCCAGCAGGGACGAAGCGCAAGUGACGGUACCUGCAGAAGAAGCACCGGCUAACUACGUG
rnacentral:rRNA from 1 species